rnacentral:lncRNA from 1 species
UCAAACCCUUUCUCUCUACUGCAUACCCAUUAAUCAGACCCUAAUCACCCCGAUCUUGCAAUCGCUUUUGAUAUCGGAAACACCCACUACCACAACAACAACCACUGAAAAUCUCUACGCCGUCGUCUCAACCCAAUUUCGGCAAGUUCGACUCAUCUGAGCUCGCUGGCGAUGAGCCGGCGAGAACCCUUAAGCGCCCUCGCUUUGUGUAGACCCCACAGCUCCACAAACGGUCCGUUGACGCCGUUGCUCAGUUAGUAGGCUUUAUUUGAAAAGAAUGCAGGGUUUGAGUUCGGGUCGGUUUGGUGGAGGUGGGUUUGGUCGGGUGGGGACCCUGUGACGGAUCGGUUUUUGGAUCCGAGAUAGAUCCUCAACCUCAUCCUGAUUGCCAUAAACAUAUUCAAUUGGAUUCUUGUCUAAUUCAAAUUCACAGUCGUCAAUAGAUGGAGCUAUACGAGAACCAAAUCUCGAUUUAUUAGAAGGUGACUAAAAAUUAGCUGAUGAUGGUGUAAGGGUUGGAGGAUGGUUGUUUAUUAGCCGGCAACCCCCUGCAGUCAUGGCUAGCUCAUUGAUUUUCAUACUCCGACUUACUAUCCGAAACUACGACCAUUAAAAAGAUAGAUUCAAACAAGUCGAAUACCAACAUGUGCAGUGAUUCAGAAGAAAAAAAACUUACAAGCAGAAUCUGAUGUGCUCUGAUGAACACGAUCAGUGGAUCGAUUGAAUGAAUUUAUGGGAGAAAUUGUUGAAUAAAAGUUAGCUUGGAGGAAAAGAAACGACGGCGAGGUCGUAAUUCGGCUGUGUGGUUUCAGAUUUAGGGGUUGUUGUAGAAGAUAUGUGAUACGACGUCGUUUUUCAAAUUGUCAGACGGGCCGUUUCUAGAAGCGUAACGUUUACUUAUAUUACGCCUUUCUUUAUCAUCACGCCAAGAUUUUUAAUUAUUAAAAUCGUUCAAGAAAUCUUGUCUAAUCUUAAAAUACGGGACUUUUGGCUAGGGCUGUUUAUGAGCCGAGCUGAGCCAAGCCAGGCCAAGCUCGGGCUCGGCUCGAUUAUAAACCGAGCUGGCUCGGCUCUGCUCGGAUUUGAAACUGAGCUGAAAUUCUAAGUUCGGGCUCGGCUUGGUUUUAAACCGAGCUAGCUCGGCUCGGCUUGGUUUGGCUCGAUUUUAUAAAAAAAAAAAACGAAUAUAUACCUCUUAAAAUUUAAUAACCUAAAAUAUUAUUCAAUAAUUUAAAAGAAUAUAUAUUCAAAAUAAGUUCAACCUAAUACAAUUCAAACCAAAAUUAAGUUUAACAACGCAAAAUAAGUUUUAGUUUCAAUAAAAUACAAUAUUAGUUCAUUAGUAUGGUAAUCAAUCUUCAAAUAUGCCAUAAAUAUCAAAUUACAUGUAAAUAAUAAUCAGUUUUUUUGUAAUAUAUUAUAAUGUAUAUAAAACUAAACUUAUUAUAAGUAAAAUAAUUCGAGCUAAACCGAGCCGAGCUACAAAGCGAGCCGAACCGAGCCGAGCUAGGCUCACUUUCUAGCCGAGCCGGCUCGGCUCACUUUUAAACCGAGCCAAAUCGAGCGAGCUUUUUCCGAGCUAAAUCCGAGCGAGCUUCGAGCGAGCUCCGAGCCACCACGAGCUUUUUGAACAGCCCUACUUUUGGCUUUUUUAUUGUUUCUUUAAGCAUUUUUUUAAUUGAUUAAAUGGAUUGACGAUGUGGUAUGAACAUAUUGUCAUUUGGUCCCUUAGUUUUAUUAAGUAUAUAUUUAGUUUUACACGGUGUGGACAAAUGUGAGUUGAUACAUGUGUGUUGAAAUAUGUUAUUAUAAUUCAUAAGCAAAUUACACAUUAUAAGUUGUUAUAACAACUUAUGGUAAUUUAUUAUAGUAUUCGUGUGUGAUAAGGGUGUUAAGUGUGCAGGUCUAUAACGGUAUAACCUAUGAGAGAUAACUUGGAAAUGUGAAAGUGUUUAAGUGUUAAAGUGGAAGUUUAGAGGGGUUGAAGUGUAAAUGUAUUUGAUCCUUGUAUUAAAGGUGAAGUGAUGAUGAGUUCAAAGUAGAGAGAUUUUCUAGAGUUCU